AGUGAACGCUGGCGGUAGGCCUAACACAUGCAAGUCGAACGGCAGCACAGUAAGAGCUUGCUCUUACGGGUGGCGAGUGGCGGACGGGUGAGGAAUACAUCGGAAUCUACUUUUUCGUGGGGGAUAACGUAGGGAAACUUACGCUAAUACCGCAUACGACCUACGGGUGAAAGCAGGGGAUCUUCGGACCUUGCGCGAUUGAAUGAGCCGAUGUCGGAUUAGCUAGUUGGCGGGGUAAAGGCCCACCAAGGCGACGAUCCGUAGCUGGUCUGAGAGGAUGAUCAGCCACACUGGAACUGAGACACGGUCCAGACCCCUACGGGAGGCAGCGGUGGGGAAUAUUGGACAAUGGGCGCAAGCCUGAUCCAGCCAUACCGCGUGGGUGAAGAAGGCCUUCGGGUUGUAAAGCCCUUUUGUUGGGAAAGAAAAGCAGCAGGUUAAUACCCCGCUGUUCUGACGGUACCCAAAGAAUAAGCACCGGCUAACUUCGU
rnacentral:rRNA from 1 species